rnacentral:tRNA from 1 species
UGCCGGAUCGUCUAAUGGUAGGACAACGGUCUUUGACGCCGUCUGUAGAGGUUCGAAUCCUCUUCCGGCAACAA